CCUACGGGGAGCAGCAGUGAGGAAUAUUGGUCAAUGGACGAGAGUCUGAACCAGCCAAGUAGCGUGAAGGAUGACUGCCCUAUGGGUUGUAAACUUCUUUUAUGCGGGGCUAAAGGUGUCCACGUGUGGAUGUUUGCAGGUACCGCAUGAAUAAGGACCGGCUAAUUCCGUGCCAGCAGCCGCGGUAAUACGGAGGAUGCGAGCGUUAUCCGGAUUUAUUGGGUUUACAGGGUGCGUAGGCGGAAUAUCAAGUCAGCGGUAAAAAUUCGGGGCUCAACCUCGUCGUGCCGUUGAAACUGAUGUUCUUGAGUGGGCGAGAAGUAUGCGGAAUGUGUGGUGUAGCGGUGAAAUGCAGAGAUAUCACGAAGAACUCCGAUUGCGAAGGCAGCAUACCGGCGCCCAACUGACGCUGAAGCACGAAAGCGUGGGUAUCGAACAGGAUUAGAUACCCCGGUAGUC
rnacentral:rRNA from 1 species